rnacentral:rRNA from 1 species
AAGUAACUGUGCACAUCUUGACGGUACCUGAUCAGAAAGCCACGGCUAACUACGUGCCAGCAGCCGCGGUAAUACGUAGGUGGCAAGCGUUAUCCGGAAUUAUUGGGCGUAAAGCGCGCGUAGGCGGUUUUUUAAGUCUGAUGUGAAAGCCCACGGCUCAACCGUGGAGGGUCAUUGGAAACUGGAAAACUUGAGUGCAGAAGAGGAAAGUGGAAUUCCAUGUGUAGCGGUGAAAUGCGCAGAGAUAUGGAGGAACACCAGUGGCGAAGGCGACUUUCUGGUCUGUAACUGACGCUGAUGUGCGAAAGCGUGGGGAUCAAACAGGAUUAGAUACCCUGGUAGUCCACGCCGUAAACGAUGAGUGCUAAGUGUUAGG